AUUGAACGCUGGCGGCAGGCCUAACACAUGCAAGUCGAGCGAGCGGCGGACGGGUGAGUAAUGUCUGGGAAACUGCCUGAUGGAGGGGGAUAACUACUGGAAACGGUAGCUAAUACCGCAUACCAUCAGAUGUGCCCAGAUGGGAUUAGCUAGUAGGUGGGGUAACGGCUCACCUAGGCGACGAUCCCUAGCUGGUCUGAGAGGAUGACCAGCCACACUGGAACUGAGACACGGUCCAGACUCCUACGGGAGGCAGCAGUAGGGAAUAUUGCGCAAUGGGCGAAAGCCUGAUGCAGCCAUGCCGCGUGUAUGAAGAAGGCCUUCGGGUUGUAAAGUACUUUCAGCGGGGAGGCGGUACCCAAAGAAGAAGCACCGGCUAACUACGUGCCAGCAGCCGCGGUAAUAC
rnacentral:rRNA from 1 species